CACGUAGGGGGCAAGCGUUGUCCGGAUUUAUUGGGCGUAAAGAGCUCGUAGGCGGCUGAGUAAGUCGGGUGUCAAAUCUUCAGGCUCAACCUGGAGCCCCACCCGACUACUGCUCUGGCUAGAGUCCGGUAGGGGAGCGUGGAAUUCCUGGUGUAGCGGUGAAAUGCGCAGAUAUCAGGAGGAACACCAGCGGCGAAGGCGGCGCUCUGGGCCGGAACUGACGCUGAGGAGCGAAAGCGUGGGUAGCAAACAGG
rnacentral:rRNA from 1 species